CGCGGGUCGCCAGGCCGGGCGUCCAGGCCUUGGAGCUUGUGGUGGAGGUGGCCACGGGAGGAUGUGGCCACGGGAGGAUGCGGCCGGGCCCUGCGCGCACCUGAGUGCCCCAGGUCCCCGGAGGAGAUACAGCUUUUAAAGAGAUUGGAGCGUGUCACUCAUCUGCCUAUUGGGGCCUUGAAAUGCUGAGAGGAGGAAUGAAGUUUUGCUUUCUCUCCCUGAACUUUCAGGUGUUAACAGAAGAAAAGUAAACAGAAGAAUGAGGCAAUACUAUAAAGAACACAUGGGAUAGAAAAGACAAUGUGCACUGGUCCAAGAGAAUAGAUGGGAACAGGUUCCAUUAUUUCCUGGCAACAAUCCUUUUGGAUGAAAAGAAAAAAAAAAAAUGGAAAACCUGAAAGUAUGGAAGCAUAGCUGCUUUAGGUUGAAGGUGAAAGUUCGUGGAUCUAAAUGAGAGCCUGAUUGGUAGGCCACUCAAGUUUAACUUGUCUGCGGUAAAUCUAGCCUUCACAUGCAUAUUCUUUCCUAAGUCAAUGAGCUAUUCCUUUGUUUCAUGGGCUAGAAAAGCAAAGUAAUUGUUUUUUGAAACCCCAAACAGUUUAUUUCUUUUCUGGAAUAUGGAAAGUAAAAACCAAAAUGAUGCAAAACUGAGAAAAAGGCCUAGAACAUUUAUCUAGAGCACACUGUGAUUAAUUACUGUAUCUAAAUGCUCUUUCUAUU
rnacentral:lncRNA from 1 species